UCAACCCUUUUCCAUAAGCUUUUUUUUCCCAGAAAAUAAAAAUAUCUACUGGGUUCAUGAAACUGAAACUCUUCUCUCUUCUUUUGCUCUUGAAUUUCCCAAAACCUGUAGCUUCAUACAUGUCAAUAUACUGAAUAGAAAUCAUAUAGGUGUUAGUGAUAAAUGAACAGAAAUCAUGAAAAAAAGAACCAAGUAAUUUCUACUUUUUCUAAUUUCCAUGUUCAGCUGAUUUGCCCAUUUUCAACAUUCUGGCUGAAAUCAGACAGAGAAAGCGGGCGAAAGAAGUUGCCUUCAAGAAACAAGAUUUGGGCUCGAGGCCAACAACAGGACGACCAGAUGGAUCCGACGAUUAUGGUUGCACUGAUUCAGGCUAUUAGUCUUCUGUGUUCAACUGUUAUGCAAGGAACAUUUGCCUACUGUGGCUACAAGAAGAGUAAUGGCACAGAAGCCAACAGGGAGGAUACAGGUUCAACCUCAGCUUCCAACGAAGUGACAAAAACUGAAGCAGCUGAAUCGCUCGAGCAGCUCAUCAAUCGAUUGGAAACUCGACAAGCAUCGGUCAAGAGAAGGAUCAACAGCACAUACGAAGAAGCACACGAGCUUUGGAAAGAUGCAAAUGAAGCAAAUGCCACAUACGGAAGCAAUGUUCAGACACUAAUGCUGUUCCAUGGCCUUGCCUCCAUCUUUCUCCAACUGUUCUAUCCCUAUGUGGCGGCAAAAGUCUCUGUUUUGGUGGCACUUUCAUUCUUCUCUGGAAACGCGGUUGCCUUCACAGUGACUUCAAGAAAAUCCGAGAGGAUUUCUCAGUGGGCUAAGACUCUCCAUUGGAAGGAGAUAGAAUUGCAGAAUGAAGUCACUUCUCUUCGAGCUAAGAUCGAGAUGAUCACUUUUUUUCACGAACUCAAAACCUCGAACUCUAGUGGGACUUACGGACAAGUUUAAAGGUUGAAUUCGUUGAGCAGGCACGUUGCUGACUCCCAGAAAACCAUUUCUCAGGCCCUUGAGAUGCCUUGCUCAAUCAGCGGCAAUCAGAUGAAGUCAGUUUCCCAGAUUGCAGUUGGGGCCAUUGUAUAUGGUCUAAGCUUCCCUAUAAUUGCAUACUACUUGCUCUACAGGCUCCAUUAGGCGAUGACCAUUUCGGCUUACUAGAUGAACAGCCGAACACUAUACAGACAGGUCCAGUUUUGCAUCAUUUGAAGUCCUUGCCUGUAGUAAUGUCAACUAGAUUGAACAAUAUUUCAUAGCUUGUGAAACUCGUUACUUGGUGUAUUUCAGUCAUUUGAUUUCAAGUUUCUAUAUGUAAAUGAAUGCCCUUUAAUGUCACAAUGAGUGUCUUUAAAUGUGUA